rnacentral:rRNA from 1 species
GCAAGGGGAGCGGCGGACGGGUGAGUAACACGUGGGAAUUUUCCUCAAGGUACGGAACAACUCAGGGAAACUUGGGCUAAUACCGUAUGAUGCAGAGAUGCCAAAGAUUUAUCGCCUUGGGAUAAGCCCGCGUCAGAUUAGGUAGUUGGUGGGGUAAUGGCCUACCAAGCCUGUGAUCUGUAGCUGGUCUGAGAGGACAAUCAGCCACAUUGGGACUGAGACACGGCCCAAACUCCUACGGGAGGCAGCAGUGGGGAAUCUUGCGCAAUGGGCGAAAGCCUGACGCAGCCAUGCCGCGUGAAUGAUGAAGGUCUUAGGAUUGUAAAGUUCUUUAGCCUGUGACGAUGAUGACGGUAACAGGAGAAUAAGCCCCGGCUAACUUCGUGCCAGCAGCCGCGGUAAUACGAAGGGGGCUAGCGUUGUUCGGAAUUACUGGGCGUAAAGCGCGCGUAGGCGGUUAUGCAAGUCAGAGGUGAAAUGCCUGAGCUCAACUUAGGAAUUGCCUUUGGAACUGCAUGGCUUUGAGGACGAGAGAGGUGAGUGGAAUUCCCAGUGUAGAGGUGAAAUUCGUAGAUAUUGGGAAGAACACCGGUGGCGAAGGCGACUCACUGGCUCGUUUCUGACGCUGUAGCGCGAAAGCGUGGGGAUCAAACAGGAUUAGAUACCCUGGUAGUCCACGCCGUAAACGAUGAGUGCUAGGUGUUGGCACGCUUGCGUGUCAGUGCCGCAGCUAACGCGUGAAGCACUCCGCCUGGGGAGUACGGUCGCAAGAUUA